rnacentral:rRNA from 1 species
AGUGAACGCUGGCGGUAGGCCUAACACAUGCAAGUCGAACGGCAGCACAGUAAGAGCUUGCCCUUACUGGUGGCGAGUGGCGGACGGGUGAGGAAUACAUCGCAAUCUACUUUUUCGUGGGGGAUAACGUAGGGAAACUUACGCUAAUACCGCAUACGACCUACGGGUGAAAGCAGGGGAUCUUCGGACCCUUCGCGACUGAAUGAGCUGAUGUCGGAUUAGCUAGUUGGCGAGGUAAAGGCCCACCAAGGCGACGAUACGUAGCUGAUCUGAGAGGAUGAUCGGCCACACUGGAACUGAGACACGGUCCAGACUCCUACGGGAGGCAGCAGUGGGGAAUAUUGGACAAUGGGCGCAAGCCUGAUCCAGCCAUGCCGCGUGAGUGAAGAAGGUCUUCGGGUUGUAAAGCCCUGUUGUUAGGAAAGAAAAUCUGUGUGUGAAAACCCCGCUGUUCUGACGGUACCCAAAGAAUAAGCACCGGCUAACUACGUG